UUCCUUUUGACUUUUGUUUCCGGUCACCUCUAAGGUCUAUUCGCCGUGCCGAGAACGAAAAUGUCUGAGAUAACAAGGAUCCAGUCGUUGGCUUCAAGACUCUUCAGAAACUGGGGCCCUACCAUGGGACUGUAUACAGCCGCUGUGACUGCUGUUGGUCUCUACGUCACAGACUGGAAAGUGAUAGCGACGAAUAUUCCCUUUUAUGGCAAAAAGUUUGAAGAGGAUGAGAUCAACUAAAUUUUCAGUGUCAUGAUAAACUGUUCCCGCUGUCUGAUUGGAGAUGUGCAAGGUGUUUGCUGUAGCAGUAUUUACAGAAAGCUUGGGCGAUGUCUGUGUCUGGAUCCUUGGUACUCAUGAUUAUGCUGAAUGAAUACAAUUGAAGAGUAGAAUUUCGAAUUUGUAACAUAACAACAUUAAAAUGAAGGUUGUCCCUGAUGAC